rnacentral:rRNA from 1 species
AAGUUGAGCGAUUUACUGCGGUAAAGAGCGGCGAACGAGUGAAUAACGAGUGGGUAAACUACCCUGUACACACGGAUAACAUACCGAAAGGAAUGCCAAUACGGGAUAAUAUAUUUGAGAGGCAUCUCUUGAAUAUCAAAGGUGAGCCAGUACAGGAUGGACCCGCGUCUGAUUAGCUAGUUGGUAAGGUAACGGCUUAACAAGGCGACGAUCAGUAGCCGACCUGAGAGGGUGAUCGGCCACAUUGGAACUGAGACACGGUCCAAACUCCUACGGGAGGCAGCAGUGGGGAAUAUUGCACAAUGGGCGAAAGCCUGAUGCAGCAUCGCCGCGUGAGGGAUGACUGCCUUCGCGACGUAAGAUUCUGUCCUCAAGGAAGAUGAUGAAUGUACUUAAGGAGUAAGCACCGGCGACCUACG